UAGGGAAUAUUGGUUAAUCUACGAAAGUGGGAACCAGCAACGCCGCGUGUGCGAUGAAGGCCUUCGGGUCGUAAAGCACUUUUUACAGGGACGAGGAAGGACGGUACCUGUAGAAUAAGCCUCGGCUAACUACGUGCCAGCAGCCGCGGUAACACGUAGGAGGCGAGCGUUAUCCGGAUUUACUGGGCGUAAAGCGCGUGCAGGCGGUUGGGUAAGUUGGAUGUGAAAGCUCCUGGCUUAACUGGGAGAGGUCGUUCAUUACUACCUGACUUGAGAGUGGUAGAGGAAAGCGGAAUUCCGGGUGUAGUGGUGAAAUGCGUAGAUAUCCGGAGGAACACCAGUGGCGAAAGCGGCUUUCUGGACCAUUUCUGACGCUCAGACGCGAAAGCUAGGG
rnacentral:rRNA from 1 species